rnacentral:lncRNA from 1 species
UAGUAAAUUUGAAUUCCAUUUUUGUCACUAUGGACCGAAAGGAGCAUUGGUAUUACCUGGUAACAGAGACAAUUUCCCGACCACAGCAAACCCAGGUACACACAACAGUUAACAAGGCCAUGGAGAUGCACGGCAUGUGCCAGCAUACACCUGAUAAAGCAUGGCACAGCUGACACAGACAGACAUGGCCAGCAGGGACCAGCACCUCAACCCUUGCUUAAGCUUGCUGUUAAAGUCUUAAGUUGCAAGUGAAAAAUACUUUUGAAGAUGGACCACAUGAAAUGUAUUAACUGAUUGAAGAAAAAUAAGUCGCAAUCUAGUGCGGCGCAAAGGGACAAAAAAAUUAUUUCAGCAAUAAUCCCCAAGCAUUUAAUUUUCAUCAAACAGAACUAUGAACCAUAGUUCAAGAAACGUUUUGCAAAUGUUUUCUUCUAAUAACAUAUUUCGAAUGUAACCCACUUUUUAAACAAUCCAAUUCUUUCACAUUUUGGAAAUUUCACUUCUAAAAUUUAUCUUUGUUUUACAUUUUUUUUCAAAGGAAAGAUCUCGAACAAUGUUCCAGUGGCCGAGAAAACAAAUACAUUAAGAGACAGAAAAUAGAAUGCAAUCCGUCCAAAUUCUCAGCAUUCAUUAUAUCCUGUGCAAGUCCGUUUCGCUAAUUUGGUCAUUGCCAAUGCUUCACUCAAUAAUUUUGGCACAUAAUUGCCCACAUUGCAAUCCACAGGCCAUCCAUUUAACAU